ACAUAUUUAUUCAUCACAUAUAUAGUAUAAUUCAUUAUGUAAUUAAUUAAACAUAUGUGCACUUUUUAAUAAUAAAUUGCUAUUUGUCGAAUGAAGUGCUUUAUUUUUAUUAGCAUUAAUUAAUUAAACAUUUUUUUUUUUCACCCAUUUAUCAUUUUUUAAUUUUUUUUUUACUAUUUUUGACAUUUUUUUUAUUUUUUUACUACUUUUAAAGCUUAGUUUUUUUUUUUUUUGACUUAUUUUACUUUAUAUAUAUGCAUACAUUAUACAUUGUCCUAGCCUUUUCUACAUCAUUACGAUUAGCCAAAUAAUAUAAACACGUUUAAAACGUUUUUUUUAUUUUAUUUAUUUAUUCAUUUAUUUAUUUUUUGUUUUUUUUUAUUUAUUUUUUUUUUUUAAUUAUAUUUAAAUCAAAAUAAAUGCAAUCGCGAAUGUAAACGCUUUUAAGCUUCACCAUGAUUUAAUUAAUAUAGAUAACAUAUCAAUAUAUAUAUAUAUUGACAUGUAUUAUAUACAUUGCAUGCAACGUUUGCAUCUACAAAGUAUGUAUUAUUGAGGACACAUUCAUUUUAAAUAAGAUUCUAAUAUUUUUGGUAAAAAAAAAAAAAAAAAAAGUUUAAUCAUAAGCACAAGCAUUAGUACAAGCACAAGCAUAAACACAAGCAUAAACACAAACAUAAACAUAAACACAAGCACAAGCAUAAACACAAGCAUAAACACAAACAUAAACAUAAACACAAGCAUAAGCAUAUGCAUAUGCAUAUGCAUAAUCAUACAAUAAAAAAUAUUUACUCAUAUGUAUAAUUAUAAUGUUAUGUAAAUAUACUUUUUCAUUUGUAAGGUUAAAAAAAAAUAAAUAAAAUAAAUAAAUAACACGAAUAGUAGUUACUACUAUACUGUGUUUAUUAUAGUCACUACAAAAUAUAUUAAAAACACGUAUAAGAAAAUAAUGAAAAGAAAGAACUAUGGCAGUAAAUACGAAGAUGUUGAUAAAAAUGAUGAAAAGAAAAGGCAGGGACAUAGAAAGUACGAAGGGAAGAGGAAAGAAGAUGAAAAAUAUAUGACACACAAUAACAAAAAAAAAAAAAAAAAAAUGCAAAAUGCUGUGACUACUACUCUAGAAAAAAGUUAUAAUAAUAAGGGUUAUAAUAAUGGUAAUCAUAUUAAGGAUAAUAAUUAUAACAAAAAGGAACAAGUGGAUGAACAAACAAGAGAAAUAGUACUACUAGAAGGAGAAACCACCAAACCGAUAAAAAAAAAACAAAACGGAUUAAAUCAUGAUAUACCAUUUAAAAAAUUAAAGUCCAAUAGACAUACAAAUAUAAACAGAUCUGAAAAUAAUUUUAAUUAUAAAGAGUAUUUAUUUUCACUCUUUUUAAAAAAAAAGAUUUCAGCGAUAGAUGAAUAUACAUAUGGUAAACAAAAUAUUAUCAAUAAAAUGCCAUCCAUGGAUUUAUUUUUUUUAAAUAACUAUACAAUAACUUCAGAUAA
rnacentral:lncRNA from 1 species